rnacentral:rRNA from 1 species
AAUAGUUUAAUUCUAGCUAAAUAAUUCUACAAAAAUAAAUCUCACAGAAACAUUUCUUAAUAACUUUAUAUAUCUAAUGAUAAAAAUUAAUAAGCAGUUAAUCUGGCUUUAGUAUUAAUACUGAUAAAACAAGGUGCCAGCAAUCGCGGUUAUACCUGAAGAUUAAAACUCAAACUAAACUUGAAUUACUUAACUAUUUAAAAUAUUCAUUUUGUUAGUAAAAUAAAAACCAUGAAAUAUUUCAUAAACUAAUUCACAUAUUUAGAAACUAAAAAAGGAUUAGAUACCCUUGUAUUCUAAACCUAUUAAAAGUUUAGGUAGUAAAAGAUAUAACUAUAAAACCUUAAGAAUUUGGCAGCUUUCUUGAAAAAUCCAAGGAACUUGUUAUAUAAUUGUCAACACACACUUAACCUUACCUUUUUUAUAUUUGUAUACAACCGAAUAAUUGAUUAAUAAAAAUCCUCAAUCAAAAGAACUAUUCUCUAAAAAUCAGGUCACCGUGCAGUAAUUUAAAGGACAUAAUGAGUUACAUUAUUUUAAAAUGCAAAUUAAAACUGAAAAUUAUAUGAAGAUGAAUUGGAUAGUAAAAAUUAAUUUAAUAUUUAAUUUUGAAUUAUCACAAGACGUGUACAAAUCGCCCGUCAUUCUCAAUAAAAUUGAGACAAGUCGUAACAAAGUGGGGCUACCUGAAGGUGGCUCUAAAUUAAAACUAGUGAGAAUUUACUUCUCCUUAAUGAAUGAUAACCAUUAAUGAAAAUUUACUAGUUCUACUAAUCAAAUAACUUUAAACAUAAAUAUUA